rnacentral:lncRNA from 1 species
ACAAAAUUUAUUAAGUAUAAAAUUAAGUUUAAUUAAAGCUCAUUUAGCUGUCCAGUCGAGCACAAUCUUGAAUCAAGCCCGAGCAUUUUUAACUUUUCUAACAAAUAUGAUCCUAGUAUCAAUAGAAAAUUAUAAUUUGAGAAGGUUCGAGUAAUUUAUCAAAUUUUAAAAUUUGUUCAUAUUUGAAUUAUUUAUAUUUCGAGUCAAGCUCGAAUCGAAUUUUUAGUCAAACGAG